rnacentral:lncRNA from 1 species
GAGGUCGCCGCUUUCCCCUGUCUCCUUUCCUUUUUCUCAGAUCCACCAGAUGUUGAGCUCCUCCUCACAGCGGGGUGGGGCUACAGCAGCACCACCACCAGCACCACCACCGCUGCAUGAAGCUCCUUCUCGUUUUCUUCCCCCGUGUUGUUACCCUGUAGCCAUGUCCGACUAGUUCGACAGCGAGAUGCGCCCCCGCGGAUGCCGACCCGUGAUGCUGCAUCUAUGGCAUGGCAGAGCUGGUACCAGUGGGUUACGGUGCUGGAACCAGCGGCCAUGGCUUUUGCAUCAAAUUGAGAAGAUUGUGGCGUCGUCGCGGCCAUGAAUGUUUGCUACAUCGAAUUUUUGCUGGAACCUCUGUUGAUUUUUGCUAGAACCACUUCUUUUUCUGCCGGAACCUUCUUUUGAUUUUACUGCAAAUUGGAGGGUGGCAUUGUCUGCGUCAUGAAUUUUCACUACAUCAAAUUUUUGCUGGAACCUCUGUUUACUUUUGCUGGAACUAGCAUUUGAAUUUGCUACAUAGACUACGAUGAUUUUUGUUUUGCUAGAUGCGAUGUUAAUUUUUGCUGGAACCGGCUUCUUUUUUUGCUGCAGCCAUCUACGAGACUUUUGUUUGCUGGAGCAUAGUGGUGCAAGCCGACGACGGCAGCAAGCCGAAGACGCGGGUUUUUUUGCUGGAACCAGCAUAAUGUUUUGCUGGAUGCGAUGUUAAUUUUUGCUGGAACCGGCUUCAUUUUUUGCUGCAGCCAUCUACGGGACUUUUCUUUGCUGGAGCACAGUGGUGCAAGCCGACGACGGCAGCAAGCCGAAGACGGUGAUUUUUGCUGGAACCGGCAUAAUGUUUUGCUGGAAUAGGCUAAUUUUUUGCUUCAACAACUACUGGACUAUUUGUUGCUGAAUUUUGUUGUGCUGGAUUUGGCAUUAAAUUUUGCUGGAACCGACUUCUAUUUUUGCUUCAACCAUUUACUGGAGUUUUUGUUUGAUGAAGUACGGUGAUGCAAGUCGAUGGCGGCGAGCCGGAGAUGGUGACCAACGGCGACGGAGUUGCCAUUCAACUUGUUUUGUCCCCUUCGACCGAUGUGUAGAAUUGCUGCAAUUGGCAUCCAGUAGGGGCGGAUCUGAACCGGCGAGCGGGCGGAGCUGCAUCCAAAAAAGCGGCAACGGGAGAUGGGACGGUGACCGCCGGCGAGUUAUAGCGAGCUCGGGCGGCAUCUCUGCUACGACCGCUGGGGAGGAGGUAGCGCUGGGUUGCUUGCGCAAUUUUCACGCGAUGUACUACCCAUGAGGCUGAGUCGUGUGGGGCAGAGGCGGGGAUUUUUUCUGGGAUGCGUUGACUAGGACGAAGAAAACAAAUCGAGGUGGGAGAGGCCAGAUCGGACGAUUCCUGGAGGCCAAAUCAAACGAUUAGGGCUCGUUCGGCCCAACAAUUAAGUCGGUGCGCCGGUGCAGAUCAGUGCCCAUUAAGCAAACAUCGUUAAUGAUGGAAGCUAACAGCGAUUGACCAAUAUUAUCUCCAAAAAGUGUGGGGCCUCACAACAAUCACGGAAGCAACAACCAGAAGCACUUGGUAGGAAGCAAAUCGAGUAAUUAAUGAGAAUUAACUGCUUUGAGGCCAUGCACGCACUAGUAGUGGGACUAGCUUUAGAAUCAAAUCAGAGCCCUCCAACCAAAUCAGAUUGAACGGCCACUGCCUGGUCUGAUGGAACGACAAGGAUCAGUAGUCUGAUCCCUAGUGGUUCCCUUUACUUUAUCCCUAUGUGUUAGGAGUAGUCGUAGAACCAAUAGUUGGUAAAGACAAUCACAUGAAGGUACGAUGAUGGAGAUCAUG